rnacentral:rRNA from 1 species
CCUACGGGGGGCUGCAGUGAGGAAUAUUGGUCAAUGGACGAGAGUCUGAACCAGCCAAGUAGCGUGAAGGAUGACUGCCCUAUGGGUUGUAAACUUCUUUUAUAUGGGAAUAAAAUGUUCCACGUGUGGGAUUUUGUAUGUACCAUAUGAAUAAGGAUCGGCUAACUCCGUGCCAGCAGCCGCGGUAAUACGGAGGAUCCGAGCGUUAUCCGGAUUUAUUGGGUUUAAAGGGAGCGUAGGUGGAUUGUUAAGUCAGUUGUGAAAGUUUGCGGCUCAACCGUAAAAUUGCAGUUGAAACUGGCAGUCUUGAGUACAGUAGAGGUGAGCGGAAUUCGUGGUGUAGCGGUGAAAUGCUUAGAUAUCACGAAGAACUCCGAUUGCGAAGGCAGUUCACUGGACUGCAACUGACACUGAGGCUCGAAAGUGUGGGUAUCAAACAGGAUUAGAUACCCGUGUAGUC